rnacentral:rRNA from 1 species
UGAGCCAAGUUUAGGGUUUUCUCAAAACCCAAAGAUGUUUGAACUGAAGAGUUUGAUCAUGGCUCAGAUUGAACGCUGGCGGCAGGCCUAACACAUGCAAGUCGAGCGGCAGCACGGGUACUUGUACCUGGUGGCGAGCGGCGGACGGG